ACGAACGCUAGCGGGAGGCCUAACACAUGCAAGCCGAGCGGUAGAGAUUCUUCGGAAUCUUGAGAGCGGCGUACGGGUGCGGAACACGUGUGCAACCUACCUUUAUCCGGAGGAUAGCCUUUCGAAAGGAAGAUUAAUACUCCAUAAUAUAUUGAUUGGCAUCAAUUGAUAUUGAAAGCUCCGGCGGAUAGAGAUGGGCACGCGCAAGAUUAGUUAGUUGGUGAGGUAACGGCUCACCAAGACGAUGAUCUUUAGGGGGCCUGAGAGGGUGAUCCCCCACACUGGUACUGAGACACGGACCAGACUCCUACGGGAGGCAGCAGUGAGGAAUAUUGGUCAAUGGGUGCAAGCCUGAACCAGCCAUCCCGCGUGAAGGACGACUGCCCUAUGGGUUGUAAACUUCUUUUGUAUAGGGAUAAACCUACCCUCGUGAGGGUAGCUGAAGGUACUAUACGAAUAAGCACCGGCUAACUCCGUG
rnacentral:rRNA from 1 species